ensembl:lncRNA
CAAAAAAGCAAACGCUGACUUUACUUCACGGAGAAAGCAAAGCAAGAUUUAAAAAAACCAAGAAGGCUAAUAGUGGUCGCGCGCGUGCGCUACUGGCGGCAAUGGCAGGCGCGUGCAGCCCGCGAGCUCCACCUACGUGCGAGCAGAGCUCGAUGUGGUGUCCACAGUUUCGUGAGCUCUGACCACCCCUUCCUCAUUUCAGUACAGCUUCGGAAGCAGGAACUUCACAGGACGGUGAAACGUUUCUCCGCACUUCUAUGACAGCUUCGUUUGAAAACGCUUCCUACAGGAAACGCCGUGAAACCUGCAGGCAGGUGGACCGUCCUUCAAGCCAGGGCCGUUUCAGCGAUUUCUCCUCUGAAACGGGCUUUUGCGCUCAGCUGAGCGAUGGACCCGCAGAGCGGUCUCCUGUCCCGCGCCGGAACCUCCCUAUGGACACUCUUCCAGGGCGCCGUGAACUAUAUCACAUCAGCUGUGGGCAGAUAUUUAAGGCCUGAGCCUCCAAAUACAGGAAAUGAUGACAUAAAUAUAAUACCGGAAGCAACAGUUUGCAAACAAAGAGAGAGAAGUCAUGAGGAGGAAGAAAAGAGUCUGAAUGCAAACUACAAAGAAAAAGAAGAGGAUGAUGCUGAGAACAGUGGGAAAAAUUUUGCAGAUCCCUGUCAGAUUACCCUAUCCACAGACACAGAGAGCAAGACUACACAAUGGAGCGUUGAAUAUGUCAAGAGUAUGGUAACAGAAAAAGGAGACAAGGCACAUGAAAGAUCAAGAGAAGACCAUGACCAACUGAAAAUAAUCCCAGUCACUGCAAACUUAAACAAUGAAGAUGCAGAGGAGAAGGGUCUUACUCAAGAAGAAAUCCAACAGGGAGAUACACAUAUGAGACAUGGUUGUCUGAUAGAACCUAGAAAAGGGGAAAAGGGAAAGCAAGACAAUCACCAAACUGAGGAUGACAUUCAGUGGCAAAAAGAACAAAAGGUAGCCAUAAAACAAGAUCAUGCCAAGUCUACAGAAGAUGAUUUUAAAGGUGAGAGAAGAUUUUUUGGGAUUAAAGUAAAGACAGUAGGAAGUGAUUAUAGAACAAUGGAAGGUUGUGAGGGAAUUCUUGGUAUUAAAGAAAGACAGCCGGAGAUGAGGAAGGGAGAAGAUGAUACAGGGAUAAAUCAAAGUUAUAAGGAAUCAGAAGCAGAGCAAGAAGGAAAUGAACAAUCAGGAAGGUUGGAAGAGACUGAAACAACAAGCAGAGAAGGACAAAUAAGUUGUCAAGAAAAUGAAAAAAAUAAAGUAAAUAUUCAAGCACUAAAAAGCAAAUUCACAGAACAAGAAAGAGAAAAACAUAGACUGGAAGACAAAGGAGAAAUGGAAGAAAUAAGAGGAGAGUUGGAAACAUUAAAUCAGAAUCAAGAAUCAGUAUCAGUUGAAGGGACUGAUGAAUCAUGUGCAAUUGAGAAAAGUGGGGAGGAUGGAAAGAGGGAAACAUAUUCAUCUGUGUUAGAAAGAAGAAAAGAAAUAGAGUACAGGCCUCACAGAGCUCAGACACAUUCUGAUGAUGAAGAUGAUGAAUUGGACACAAACCAAGAGGAAGAAAGAAAAACAGGUGGGGAACAAAUAGGAACUAGGGAGGUGGAAAGAGAGGGAGGACUACAAGAGGUGAACAUAGAAACAAAGUUCAAAAUGACAGUAGUAAAGAUAAAGGAUGGAAAAGAUGAGGAGAAUGAAAAGGAAACAAAAAGUGAUGAAGAGGAAACAACUGACUUAGAAAACAGAGAAAUACAAAUGGGGAAAAAUUUCGAGGAACCGCAAGAUGAGAUAAAACAAGAUGAUGAACGUGGGUGGAAGGAAGAGGUUCAGACCACAAGGGUGUCAGGGCACGGAAGUGUCACAGAGAAUGAAAAACACAAAAAAGAAAUGAAAGGUAUAAAAACGGAAAUCAUUGUAAGUGUCAAAGAACUGGAAAGAGAAAUGCAGAGAAUAGAGGAGGAGGAAGAUGUGGAAGAAAUAACAGAAGACCUGGAAGCAGCAGAUGAACCUCAAGAAUUUGUAACAACAGAAGAGAAAGAAGAGUUAUGUACAUUAGAGAAAGGCAGCAGGGUUGGAGAAAUGGAAGUGUGUUCAUCUGAGUUUGAAAGAGGAGAAGAAAGGGACAAUUAUGUAGCAAAAGAAGAUGUAAAAAUCCACUUUGAAGAUCAAUGGCCAGUGCAAGAAUGGACUGAGGAACACUUAACAUUAGGAUUUGACUUUCAGGAACUGGAAAAAACACACAAAGAAGUAGAAAUGAUACCAGAAGAUAAAGUUGUGGCAAUAUCACAGACACAGUGGAGAGAUGAUAAUAAAGAUGAGGUAAGUGCCCAACAGGCGAGAGAAACAGAAACAGAGCACAGGUGUCACAGACCUCACGAUCAUUCUGGUGUGGAAGAUGAAGAAUCAGAUACAAACGAAGAGGAAGAAAAAAAAGCAGAUGCAGAACAAACAGAUGCAGGGAAAAUGGAAACAGAAGGAGAACCACAGGAGGUGUACAUGGAAAUAAAACACAAUAUGACGGAAGCAGAAACAAAGUAUGGAAAAGAUGAGGAGACUGAAGAAGAAACCAGGAGUGAUGACGUGGAAACACCUGACUUAGGAAAAAGAGAAAUAGCACUGGAGACAAAUUUCAAGGAAUCAGAAGAUGAGAUAAAAGAAGUGGAAUCUGGAAGGGUGGAAGAUAAUAAGUCCAUAAAGGAAAAAGGCCAAGGAAGUGUCACAGAAAAUGAAAAACACACAGAAUUUAAACAUCUAGAAAGAGAAAUCACAGUAAGUUUAGAACUGGGAAAAGAAAGGGAGAGAAUAGAGGAGGAAGAUGAUGUGGAAGAAAUGAAAGACCUGGAAGCAGAAUGUAAAUAUCAGGAAUCUGUAACAGAAGAGGGAGAGGAGUCAUGUGCAGUUGAAAAAGGUAGCAAAGAUGGCAAACGGGAUGUAUAUUCAUCUGAUGUAGAAAAAAGAAAAGGAAAAGACCCUAAUAUACAAAAAGGGGAUACAGAAGUGCACUUUGAUGAUCAAUGUUCAGUACAAAUUGGGACCAAAGAGCACUUCGGAUUAGGAUUUGACUUUCAAGAAUCUGAAACAACAAACAAAGAAACAGUACAAACGAUAACAAAAGAAGACGAUGUAGAGGGAUCAGGGACUCAAUGGAGAGAUUAUAUGACACAUGAAGAUAGUGUUUAUAAGCAAACAGAAAACAACCAAAAGGAAAAGAGAAAAACAGAUGAAGAACAAAUAGACACUGAAGAGAUGAAAAUGGAAGAACCGCAAGAAAUAAACAUUGAGAUGAAAUACAAAAUAGUCACUGUAGAAAGUGAGGAUAGAAAUGAUGAGAAUGACGUGGAAACACCUGAAUUGGGGGAAGAUGAAAUAGAGUUGAAUAAAAAGUGCAAGGAACCCCAACAUGAGAUAAAAGGAGAGGAAGAAUUUAGAAGUUCUGUGAACACUGAGUCAUCUUUUGGAGAUGAACUGGGCAACGUUCUAGAAAAUGAAAGAAAUGAUGGACUACACAGACUAGAAGGUGAAAUCACAGUAAAUACAUUGAUACUGGAAAAACUUAAACAGAGCAAAGAAGAAAAAGAAGAAAUGAAUGAUCUAAUAGAACAUUUAGAAACAGAAGACAAAAGCCAAAAACCAAUAAUGAUGGAAGCUGGAGAAGAAUCACAUGCAGUUAAGAAAGGCUGGGAAGAUGGAGAGAGAGAAGUGUGUUCAACUGAGUUAAAAGAAGAAGAAAACAGCAUAAAGGCAAAAAAACAAGAUAUAAAAGUCCAGUUUGAAGACAGAUGGACAGCACAGUCUGAGGGUCACUUACCAUCACUAGUCAGUUCUCAAAAAAUUGCAACAGCACACAAAACUGGUCAAGCAACAGCAGUUGAUAAACCUGUAGAUAUAUCAGUGACACAAUGGAGAGAUGAUAUGCAACCCGAGGAAAGUAUCUACAAGGGAACUGAGACAGAUGAGAAUGGGAAAUCUCAAAGAACUAAAGGGCAAACUGGUGAGAAAGAUGGGUCUCAUAAUGUAAGUAUAGAAUGGGACAUUGAAAUAAAAGAGGAAGAUGCUGUGCAUGAAGAAACAAAUGAAGCUGUAUCACAACAAAGUAUAAAAGCUGAAGAAUUAAGCUUCAGUAGAGCGGCUGAAAAUGAAGAAGACAAAGAAUUAUGCAGGAGGGAAGACAUUUUUAACAGAAUAGAAAUGAAACAUGAUAGCAAGGUUAAAGGUGUAAAUGCAGUUGAAAUGAGGGAUGAAAUAAUAGAAGUCAAUCAAGAAGCUAUUACAAGAAGUGUAGAUGAACUUGAAGAAAGGGAGGUAGGGGAAACUGGCAUUGAUGACAUUGCCGGAAUAAGAGACGAGUUCCAUGUAAAAGACACAACUGGAAAAAAUGUAGAAGAAACAGAAUGCAGAAAAGAUGAAAGCAGAACUGAGCAUGUGUGGGAAAUGCAGACCGAAAAAAGGGAAGAACAGGUAGUACCAGCAUAUGUAGCAAGUAUGGGACAGAAGGAGAAAGGAGGAGAAAAUACAGUGGAUGAAAGCGUAACAGAAAGAGGAGCAGAAGUGUUUGUAGAGGGAGAAGGAAUAGAAGUGGUAAAAUGGCAAUCCAUGUCAAGUAAAAACAAAGUUGUAGGAAAGGAUACAGAGGGAUCUGAUGUGUUGGUGGAUGAAAAAGAGGAACUUCAAGUAAGAAAGGAUGCAGAGGAAGAGAUUAUUGAGAGAAAUGCAACCAAUGAAUUAGCUGAAACACAAACCGAGCAUAAAGGCUAUGUUAGACAGGAAAGCAAAGACAGAAUUACCAUGGAAGAUAAUGGAAAAAAUUUGAUAAUGGUUCUAGAUGUAAAUACUGCGCUAGCGGAAGAUUAUAAGGAUAAGAGUGCACAUGAUGAAUUGGGAGCAGUAACACUUAGAAGUGGACUGGCUGAGAACAAGUCAGAAGAGGAGAGAAAGUCAGACUAUAAUGGGGGAAUGAGGGCCCAAGUAUGUAAGACUGAUGAAAAACAAGAAGUAACUAAAGCAAAAGAUUGGGUAGAACAUGAAGAAACAGCAAAAGAAAAGACUGACAACAGUGAAGUGUACAGACAAGAGGUAGAAAGAACAAAAAUACAGGGAGAAGAUACAAAACAAGAGCAAAACAAAAGCGAUGAAACGGAGUCAUAUGGUCGAAAUGGUAAAACAGAAAUGUUAGUCACAGAGACACUAGAUGAUGAGGAAAAGGAAGAGCAGCCAAUGUCUAUGGGGGGAACUAAAAAAGAAGUGGAUGAAGAAAUAAGAGCAGAUGUGAGAAAUGAAGACAUUGCACAGGAUGAUGUUCGAAAAAGAGAAGACGAGCAAAUAUAUGAAGAUGAAAGUAAAAAAUUUGUCUUACAGGUGGAUGCCCCCUCUUUGGAUUUCACUGCCCAAAAGUCUCGAAUUGCCCUUAAGAACCACCUGGUUCGUCCACCCAAGGAUCCUCGAAUACUCCUGCAGAAAGCCUCUGUGAUCCCUAUCCAUUCAGCCCCACCCCAGGAGGAGGGGUUUAACACAAAGCCAGUGAUGAUGAAGGUGGGAGGUGGUGGAGUGAUGGGAAUCAAACUGCCAGGCUUUGGCGGUGGAAUUCCAGCACUGAAGAAAAAAGAAAAAGGAGUGAGUGAAAAAAGUGAGGAAGUUACUGGACAGAUCAGUGAGAAGGAACUCACUGCAAAUGUUGGAAUUGAUGUCAGGGAGCAGAGCAGCACAAAACAAAGGGAGGCAGGACCCAAAAUGGGAGGAGUCGGGGCGAUUGGAGUGAAGCUACCUGCUUUUGGUACAGGACUGCCUAUUUUAAAGAAGACAGACCGGGGAGUGAAGAUGAGGGAGGAUGUUGCAGAUGAUGGUGAAUAUGGAACAGCAAGGGCUGAAGGAAAAGGAGCAGAAUCAAAGGAAAAGGAGGUGAAAAGUACUGGAGCACCAGCUGUAAAACUACCAAGUUUUGGCGCUGGAUUUCCUAUGCUGAGAAAGACUGAAAGGGGAGCGAAAAUGAGAAGUGGAGAAGACUUGGAAAAGUCUGAAGCAGAUAAUUUAAACGACACAGACAAGCCAGAUGGAGGAUCUCCAUCCAACAAGGCUGAUGUAGGAAAUCCUCUACUGUCAGAGCUUAAGUUUAAAUUAAAGAAGACUGACAAGAAGUGAGAGUGAUAUCCUGCGUUUCUUUUUAUACAAUACUGUGUGCAUAUGAAUUUCGACAUUAUUUUACCAUUACUUACCUGCAUUUCGUGCACUAUUAAGUAGGGUUGCCAGCAGUGUAUGCAAUUUUACCGUAAUACCCUAAAGAAUAAAUGUUUGUUCAAGCAUACA